rnacentral:rRNA from 1 species
AUUGAACGCUGGCGGGAUGCUUUACACAUGCAAGUCGAACGAGUGGCGGCCGGGUGAGUAAUAUAUCGGAACGUGCCCAGUAGCGGGGGAUAACUACUCGAAAGAGUCGCUAAUACCCCAUACACUUGGAGCGGCCGUUAUGGGAUUAGCUAGUUGGUGGGGUAAAGGCGGACCAAGGCAACGAUCCGUAGUUGGUUUGAGAGGACGACCAGCCAGACCGGGACGGUGAAACGGCCCAGAUUCCUACGGGAGGCAGCAGUGGGGAAUAUGGGAGAAUGGAGUAAAGCCUAAUGCAGCAAGCCCGCAUGUAUGAGAAGGCCCUCGGGGUGAAAAGUGCUGGUCGCAGGGAUGCGGUACCUGCAGAAUAAGCACCGGCUAACUACGUGCCAGCAGCCGCGGUAAUUC